rnacentral:rRNA from 1 species
AGUGAACGCUGGCGGUAGGCCUAACACAUGCAAGUCGAACGGCAGCACAGUAAGAGCUUGCUCUUACGGGUGGCGAGUGGCGGACGGGUGAGGAAUACAUCGGAAUCUACUUUUUCGUGGGGGAUAACGUAGGGAAACUUACGCUAAUACCGCAUACGACCUACGGGUGAAAGCAGGGGAUCUUCGGACCUUGCGCGAUUGAAUGAGCCGAUGUCGGAUUAGCUAGUUGGCGGGGUAAAGGCCCACCAAGGCGACGAUCCGUAGCUGGUCUGAGAGGAUGAUCAGCCACACUGGAACUGAGACACGGUCCAGACUCCUACGGGAGGCAGCGGUGGGGAAUAUUGGACAAUGGGCGCAAGCCUGAUCCAGCCAUACCGCGUGGGUGAAGAAGGCCUGCGGGUUGUAAAGCCCUUUUGUUGGGAAAGAAAAGCAGCAGGUUAAUACCCCGCUGUUCUGACGGUACCCAAAGAAUAAGCACCGGCUAACUUCGU